CUUUGCCAACAACACCCUCAAGCCCCCGGAGAACACUAAGAGAAGCAGCAAGAUCAUUGGCCCAAAUGUUCCUUCCAUCAACCACUCCAGCAAAGAGGUACUUGCCAGCAGGGAAUCCACUCUUGAUCAAUUCAAGGGUCUUCGUUCCACGAACCAAAUCAAAUCCAUAAGCGGUGACACCCUUCAAAGAAGUGAGGGUCUGGAAUGCCUCAGCUGGAACAUCAGCAAAGUAGGUCUCAACAAGAACAUUCAAGCCAGACAGAGUUGACUCUAGCUCGGCAUAAGCCUCACUGAAUGCAUGCAAUUUGUGUGAGUCAAGAUCCAUAACAAGCAAUGGCUCAUCAAACUGAAUCCAGGAAGCACCAGCAGCCUUAAGCUCAGAAAUAACUUCCCUGCAGAAGUGUUAAUUGGUACAACACAGAUUAAUGAUGUCACUCGAUAUAUACACACAGAGUUAUUUAGCACAUACACAUUUAUAAAUCAGUAAUAGGUGAUAAUUUCUUACUUGUAGAUUGGAAGGAUUUUCGGAAGAAGAGAAAGAAGAGAAAAGGUCUUCGCAACACCCUUGGCAGGCUUAGACAGCAACAAGUAUGACACAGGGCCAAUAAGCACUGGGACAGUUUCAACUCCAAGCUGCAGCAUUAGACAAGUGAUCGAUAUUAGCAUCUCACAAACUUGAUCUGAUUGAUAGAAAGUUACAAGCAAGUUCAGAAUUCGUUUAAUGAAAUCUCUAUGAAAAAUCUUCAGGGUCCACAAUGUGUUGAAAGUACCCUUUUCAAGUAAUUUAUCUUAAGACUAUUUUGCAAACAGUAUUGCUUUCCUUACAGAUCAAAUAAAUCAAACAACAUAUGAACACAUUUACUGAACCAAGUCUAAGUUCAAAGCUCUAUAAAUAAAUGUCAAUGAAUCUAUAGUAAAUUCUAUUGCAUCCUAAGCUAAAGAUGAGCAUAUCAUAUAAGAAUUUCAAGGUGAACGUAACCCAAUUUCAAUAUAUUGUAGAUUCAGAUAUCAAACGAAAUAAAAUUUGUAAAUAUAGACAGAACUGAGAAUAAACACUCACCCCCUUAGCCUCCUUGUACUCAGUCACAGCCUUGUGGGAAGCGUAGGAGAACUUAACAUCGGGUCCCAAUUCAGGAACAAUGAAAUGACUGCAUCAACACGAAGCCAAACACGCGUCAGCAUUCAGUACAAAACCAUUACACCAUAAAUAACUUGAAAUGCCGCUCUUCCAAGUAGUGAAUACUUACUAGUUGGUGUCGAACCACUUGGUCAUUUCCAUAGCGGGAACAGAGGCGUUUCCUCUGGCCAUGGAGAAGUAAACAUCAAAUCCAAUCUCGCCGCCGUUCCAGUUAUACCUCGGGGGCACGGCACCGAGCAUUGCGGUGGUGUCGAGCACUUGGUCGUAGUAGGAGAAAGUGUUGCUGGGAAUGUAUUUGAUCCCGGCCUGGGACAUCUGUUUCCAGAUGGAGGAUCUGAGAUCAGCGGACACCUUUUGCAAAUCCUCAGCGCUGCUCUUGCCAUCCCAGAAGGAUUCCAACGCGAACUUGAGCUCCCUCUUGGGGCCCAUGCGUGGGUAUCCAACGAUGUGAGAUGCCAUUUUACUGUCAUAAUCACGUCAUCAAUGAAUCGAAAAUCAGUCACUUUCAUUAAAUCAAGAAAAUAUUCAUUCAAAUGGAUGGGUCAUUGCUAUUACUGCUCAAAUCAAAUGAAAUCAAGAACACUUAUCAGAGCAUAAAAUCUUAAAUUAAUUUUUUUAUAAAAAAAUAAAAAACCAGUUGAAACAAGCUGAUAAUAAUCCAAGAGUUUGAGAUGAUUUUUUUCUUUCUGUAAUCACAUGAACAAUUAUGUACUUUCAGUCAUUUUUGAAGGAUUAAAACAAAAAAUUCUACAAAUAGAUUCUGAAAAGAAGAAUCUAAAAAUAGAUUCAAAAACAGUAACACAAGUAGAGUUCAAAUUGUUUUUCGGAAAAGAUUAAUUACAGAUCUGAUUGAUUCACGUUCAGAUCUAGCAAAAUCACGGCAGCCAAACACUAGAUCUAACACUAACAGUCACUCACCAGUCCAUUAGAAAAUGAAAUCAAGUUCAAAAUUCUUUUAAAGUUAAUUCUUUUUUAGAAAAUGACCAGAUUUUAGUUGAGUAUUAGUGAGUUUUUUACAAAAUAAUUUAUUUUUGUUUUUUAGAUCCAAAAGUUCGGAAAUCAAAACCAUGUUCAAUGCUUAUUCAUGAUUAACGGCGUAAAAACGCUACUGCAGAGAAGACAUAACGAAAAUGGGAACCGUACCAAACAGAGAAAGAAGAGCAGAGAAAUUGAGAGUCGAGAGGAGAGAGAGAAGAGAGCGGCGAGUUUGGGGGAGUGCCCUCUCCGUUAUUUAUAGCCAAAAAUCAAAUCUGGUUUGGUGGUUGCCUUUGGCGUGCCAACCUGUAGAUCUGAGAUUUUUCAUCUUAAUUUCUUUCUCUUAUUUAUUUAUUUAUUUAUUAUGAUUUUCAGUGCAGUUCAUAAAAUAUAGAGCUGACGCGCGCUUUUCUGAUGUGGCGCGUGAAUUGGAAAUGCGGUAGGUCUUUGUGGGCCCCACGGCACGGUCAGGACUGAAGGAAAAAUGUGAGAAGUUAUCAUAAUUUCAACAGUGCCAUAAUUAGCAAUUACACCACCAAAUAUUUCUUGAGUUUUUUUUUUUUGAUUGCUUUAAAUGCAGAGUUGUUAUGAAUUGUGUUAAUUGUAGAGUUGUUAUGAUUAGAUUACAUUAUAAUUCGUCACAAUUAUGAUAGGUAUGUACGUAUAUAAUAAUUUAUGAGUAAUGAUAUAACCACAAACUCUUAUACAAACUUAUUUUGUACAAAUUGAUGUGGCAUGAUAAAAUUAGUUGAAUUAAAUAUUACUUGAUCCACAUGAUUUGUUAUUAUUAUUUUAUAUUUUCAUUCAACCAAUGAAUUAAUGACACGUCAGUUUGUACAAGAUAAGUUUGUACAAGAGUUUAUGGUUGUAUCAUCACUCAUAAUUUAUAUAAGAUCUCGAAUAUUUAAAAAAUUUAUAAAUCAUUAUUUUCAUGUACAUUUACCUGGUAGCAAUGACAAUAACAUAAAAUAAACUCCAAACAAGAAUGGAUUAUAUUAUUUAUGUUAUUUUAUAGCUUUUUAAUUGAUUUUUAAAAGGAUUAAUUGUUAAUCAUUACUCUCCAACCGUAAUCACCAUUAAAUAUUUAUUUAAUUUAAUAGUCGGUAGAUCAUAAAUAAGAUUAGAAUAUUUAAUGGACAAUCUAAUUGCUACUACAAUUGUUAUCAUUUUUUUAAGGUAAGGGAUUAGACAAUACUCAAAUUUAUUUUUUAACCCCUUACUCCCUAAAGAUUCGAAUUUAACUAACUAAUUAAAUAAGACUGCUUAAAAACCACUCAACCACAUCUUUUGGGGACCAAUUAAUAUCGAUGUUUAAACUGAGGUUUAUUAUUAAAUUUUUUAAGUUUCAAGUUUCAACCGCUAACAACAUUAUCAUCGAUUAAUGAUAAAUAUAAUAAUAUUUCAUCAAAAAACCAUUUAACACAUCCAUCCAUAUUAAACAUAAGUAAAAAAUUUAUCAUGCAUUUCAAAUAUAUUUUUCAUCCUAAAAGUUAUGGAGAAAAUCUUGAUAUCAAAACUUACAAUGUAAUUAUGGGAUGUAAUUUUGCAUUUGAGGUCAGCACAACUUAAAAAUUACUAUGAAUGAAAAUUUAUAAUAAGCAGACACCACAAAAAAAAAUUAUUUAUAAGUAUUACAAUCAUGCAGUUUUAUUUAAGUAUUUAACCAAGUCAUUCAAUUUCUAAUUAAGACGGUAUAAAUUAGAUUUGGGCUGCCUAAGACCAAAAGUCAAAAAAAAAAAAAGAAUAUUCCUAAUAAGCAGCCUACCGCGGUCACGCGCCUUAAGAAACGCUUGGACUUAGCACACGAUUUUAAUCCAAAAUGUAUAAAAAAGGAAAAAUUUAUGAGGUGUAUAAUUAUCUUGAGUUGUUAUAUUUUGAAGAAACAAUGAAGAAAGUUGGUGGCCGAAGUUGAUCCGGGGCGAAUGGUGGUGGGCCCACGUUGUUGCAUUAUAAUUGGAGUUAUUGUAAUUUUUCUUAUAAUUAAUAAACUCCAUUUUUCAAAGAAAAUAAAUAAAUAAAUACACUCCCGAUUACGAAAAUAUCAUUUCAUGAGUGUCAAAGUUAGAGCUGGCAAAAUUUGACACGACCCGAUUACCUGACACGAACACGACAUAAAUAAAUAAGUAUGGAUCGUCAAAUUUAACACGAUUAUUAAAUGGGUCGGGUCUGGGUCAACACAAUUUUUUUCCGUGUCGGGUUUGGGUUAAAAUUCUUGACCCAUUUACCCGAUCAAUGACCCGAUUAUAUUUUCUAUUUUAAAAUAAUUUACAUAUUCUUAUAAUUAAAACUCAAAUAUUAGAGAUAUUUUUUUUAUUCUUUAAAAUGGUGAAUAUAAACACAGUGUUUUAUUUAUAAAAUUUUACAUACAUUUAGAGCUUCAAUAGUGUAAAUGUGUAAAAAUUGAUAGACAUGUAUAUUUUAUAAUAUUGAUAUAUAAUAUUAUAUAUAUAUAUAUAUAAUUAAAACCUCAAUAGUGUACAUGUGUAAUAUAUUGGUAGAUAUGUAUAUUUUAUAAUAUCGAUAAAUUAUGUAUGUAUGUAUUUAUGUACAUACGUAUGUAUGUAUUUAUGUAUAUACGUAUGUAUGUAUUUAUGUACAUACGUAUGUAUGAUAGUGUGUAAAUAUUUUAUGUAACUUUUGUUCAAUAUAUAGAUAUUAAACGGGUUAUUGGGUAACCCGAUUGUUUUUCCGUGUCGGGUUUGGGUCUCAAUAUUUUGACACGAUUAUUAAAUGGGUCGGGUUUGGGUCGACCUAAAUUUGACACGACACGACACGAACACGACCCGAUGACCCGUUUUGCCAGCUCUAGUCAAAGUGACCGUCACCUACGCAUCGCGUUUGUUGGGCGGGGUGGGUAAGGUGGGGCGAGGAGUUUGUUUGAUCGUCUGAUUACUUUGAUUUUGAUGAAACGUAUGGACGACGGCGAUGGCUUGCCAGCAAGUGGGUUUAUCAUGAUUUUGAUUGUAUUCGGGGAGAUGCUUAUGUAUAUCCUCAAAACUUCUUGGAAAUGAAAACCGCUGGGGUGGCAAAUCUUGACCAAUAAAGUGUGCGUGAUGUUGCGUUUAUAAAUUUCAAUAAUACUAUUGGCCGAUUGAGAUUAUUUUUAAAAAGUUUAAAAAUAAUUUUUAAAGGUUAAAUGUUAAUUUUAAUAUUGAAUAAAUUUUUAAAAAUUAUUUUUGAUAAAAUCAUUUUAUCCUCCAAUAAAUUUUAAAAAAUAGCGAUACAGUAAUUUUUUAAAAUCUAAUUUUAAUAAUCAAAACUAUUUUUUUAUAUAAUUUUAUAGAUAUCCGCAUAUAUAUAUUAUAAAAAUUCGAAAUCAUUAUUAUUAAUUAGGAAAUAAAAUCAUUAACUUUUAAGAAAUUAUUAUUAUUACCAAUUAUACUGACAUAACAAAAUAAAAAAUUAAUUAAUAUUAUAAAUAUUUAUUUCAGUUAUCAACUAUUAUAUAUACACAAUAAAAAAUAUUUUAUAUACAUAUUUAUAAAUGUAUAAAUAAUUUUUAUUCAAUAUUAUAUCGAAUUAAUCAUUUACAUUCUUGCAACAAGUUAACAAUAAAAUUUACCAAACACAUACGAUUGUUUUUAAAACUCAUAUUAUUUUUUUAAAAAAAAAUUACUAAACCUUUAACUGAUUCUCUUACAACUGAUUAUUUCUACAGUACAAUUAACAACAAUUAUUUUAAAAACUAUAACAUUUUCAAACUAGCCCCAUGACAAUAUUGUUAUUGUUGUUUUUCUUACUCUUAUCAAUAAAACUACGUUGCACAUAAGUGCAUAAAAAUUCACACAAAAUAAACUAUUUAACUUUAGGGUAUUAAUUGAAAAAAAAAAUCAGAUUAAGGUGAAUAAAUAUCAGAAAAUAACAAAUAGAUAAACUCUCACACUCUUUAAAAAAAUUAAUUUUAUAAUUUUAUUUAAAACCAACAGAUAUUACCAAACUUAACGGAUCAAUGUUCCAAUGUUUUCUUUUUAAUUUCAAAACCAACAGAUAUUCUUUGUUCAUUAUAUGACCUCCAAACAAAUAAUUUCAUUAAUAAAAUAAUAAUGAAAAGUAUCGUGGUGAGUACAGAGUAAUUCGGUGGCUAAUAAAAGUCUCUAUUUUUCGUCUCUGUUUUUCAUUUUAACUCUUGGGGUUGGUGCCACUUCGGCCUUGGUCGGAGUGGUGGGCUGCUGCCCUCACAAGUAUUGUGAGGACAGUGGUUCAAGCCCCCACAAAUAUUUUUGUGGGGGCUAACGUACUUAUUUAUUUAAUAUUUCAAAAAUUUCUUCUCCCUCGUGCAAUACGAGUGGAGUAUGGACAUCCCUCCUCUAUAAGGGAUUAUUUGUCUGGGCAUGUACUUCACAGAAUUCAAUGUAAUAAUAUAAGUCUCAAUCAUAUAUUUUUGAUUGUAAAUAUCAAUAUAAUAUAUCUGCUAUAAUAGCAGUUGUAAAUAUCUGUGUAAUGCAAUAAUAUGAUAAUUAAUCAUUAUUCAAAAAAAAAACUCUUGGGGUUGGUAGGCUCGUGAAUGGUCCACGUAACCUCUGGACGUAACACUCAAACAAAGACAGCACAAGGCACAUGAAAAAUGCCUAAAAACCGUAAAACCGUGACGUGUUCAACAUAUUAAUAAAUUUAUACUGUGUUUUCUUUUUUUUUUUAAUACUGUGUUGAUAAAGCACUUACGAUGGAACGACCAAUUCUAUUACUUGCAAAACUAAUUAAUAUUUCACUCUAUCAUCUAACUAAUGGAAGGCCAUCUUAAUUGAGGUUGCAAUAGUUAGAAAGUAGCGGGAAGGGUGGCCAAUGCUCCAUAUUAAUUUGCAUCAAUCCCUUUCUGGUGAAGAAGUACGGGUGAAGUAGAGGUCAAAGUUAGAAGAUGAAGGGUGUGUUUGGGAAUUGAGAGUGAGGUGCUGUAGUUUUUUAGCUGCAGUUGCUGUGAAAUAAAAGUUAUAACUGUGGAAUAGAAGUUGAGAAAAAAAAUUUGUUAAGCUGCCAAAGCCCAGUUACAAAUGUUACCAAACACCUUAGUAGCUAGGCUUUGGCAGCCCAUCUACCCCAUCACACUCCCAAACGGAUUAGAAGGGGACCGGGAUUGCUUUGUCAUAUUUGAAAAUGAUUUUGAAAAAAUAAAAAUUAAGUUCAGAAUUUGGUAAAUUCCUUUAAAAUUUCUUUUAGCAAAAUCACUCUCUCCUUUAGAUUUUGAAAAGUAUGGAAUGAGUAGUUUUUUAAAAUUUAAUUUUGAAAUUCGGAUUCAUAUUUAAUAUAAUACCAUAUAUCAUAACAUGUAUUAUAAAAAUCUAAAAUUAUCCUUAUUCAAUCAAUUAAGAAGUAAAAUCUUACAUUUAAAGAUAUUAUCAUUAUCAAUUAUAUUUAGAUAAUAAAAAAUACAAUUAAUAAAAUAAAAAUAUUUAUUUUAGUUAUCAAUUAUUAUAUAUAUACAUAAAAUGUAAUUAUAUAAACAUAUUUAUAAAUGUAUGUGUAAAUUAAAUUUGUAGAUUUAUGUUUAUAUAGAUCAUUUGCAUUCUUAUCACAUUUUAAAAGUGAGAUUUAUUAAAUAUAUAUAUGAUUAUUUUUAAAAUUUACAGCACUUUUUAAAACAAAAGUAUCAAAAGUUUAAUUGAUUCCUUAUUUUUACUGUACAACUAACAGUAAGAUGUGUUUGGUUCAAGUAUAAAAUGAUGGGAUUGGACAAUUUUAAGAUUAAAUAAUCCUAAUGCAAUGUUUGGUACCAAAAAUAAUUGUGGGAUAAAAAUAGUGGACCCCACCAUUUAAUCCAACACAAUGUCAAAAUUUUAUCACAAAGGGGGGUGUGGGAUAAGCUAAAACUUAAACGUAGGAUAACAAAAAAAAAGCCCAAAAUUUUAUACAACACAGUGAUUUUUUUUUUUUUUUGAGUAUGUCAUCAUCCAAUGAUAGUAUAUAUGCCAGAACACUCUUUUGACGUUAAUGAUAUGUAAUAUUUUCAUAUAUACAGCUAGUGACAUUGUUAUGUAAUUUCUUUUUCAUUUAUAGAUUUAUAUUAUUAUUAUAUUUGUUGAUGAUAUUCUUGUUAUGUUUAUAAUUAUAUUAUUUAGUAAUUUAUAAGUUUAAAAACUAUAACAUGUUAAAUAUAAGAAAAACUUUAAGCGAAGAUUUUGUAUUUUUUAACAAAUUUACCAAUAAUUUUUUAUUUAAGUUAGAUUAUAUUCCAUGUCAUUUUAAAAUAAAUCUAAGAUAAUUUUGAUAAAUUAAUAAAUAAGACAUAUUAUUAGUUACUAACCAAUUUCAUGGCAUACCAAACAUGAGAUAUGAUUAUUUACAGUCUAAUCCAACAUUGCACCAAACGUAAUAGAGUAUUAUAUAUAAUCCAAUGUUAUCAAAUCCAAUCAUAUCUUAUCCAAUCCGAUCCGAUCCAGUCUAAUCCAAUUUGACAUACCAAACAAGCCCUAAUUAUGUUAAAAACUACAUCAUUACCAAACUGACCCUUAAUACAAUCUCAUACAUACAUACAUAUAUAUAUAUAUAUUAAAAAUUAAAAAUUAUCUUUAUUUAGUUAGGAAAUAAAACCAUUAUAUUUAAAUAGAUUAAUAUUAUUACUAAUUAUAUUCAGAUAACAAAAUUAAUAAAAUAAAAAUAUUUGUUUGAUUUAUCAAUUAUUAUACACACAUAUUUAUAAAUGCAUGCGUAAAUAAAAUUUUAUAGAUUUAGGCCAAGGCGGAUGUACGGUACAGCAGUAUCUUUAUUUAGUUAGGAAAUAAAACCAUUAUAUUUAAAUAGAUUAAUAUUAUUACUAAUUAUAUUCAGAUAACAAAAUUAAUAAAAUAAAAAUAUUUGUUUGAUUUAUCAAUUAUUAUACACACAUAUUUAUAAAUGCAUGCGUAAAUAAAAUUUUAUAGAUUUAUGUCUAUUUAAAUCAUUUGCAUUCUUAUAACAUUUUAAAAAAAGAAAAGAAAAGUGAUUUACCAAAUACAUGUAAUUGUUCUUCAAACUUACAACACUUUUAAAAUAGAAUUUAAUAAAUGUUUAAUUAAUUUUUUCACAGCUGAUUAUUUUUAUGGUAUAACUAACAAUAAUCUAUAAACUUAUGGUAAAUAUUUGUGUGAAUGUUGGUCCAUGUAAAGAAGUAAAAACAACGCAUAUAUCAAGCAAUAAGAUAUCAAAACUCUUAGUAAAAUACAUAUACUAAUGAAAGAAUGACAGCAAUGCAAUAAAUAAGAUUAUAAUAUAAAUUAUUAAAAUUGUAUAUUAAAAAUUGAUGUAUGAAAUUCUUUUUAUUUUAGUGAUAGAUAAUGUGAUAUAUUUGAAUAAUUUGAUUAAAUGAAAAGAAAAAUAACAAGUAUGGUUGUGGAGGAAAUAAACCAUUGAACUGUGGAAUGUUAUUAAUUAUUGCUAUUUCAUUAUGUAACGUCCUGAUAAUAAGUACAGUGUUAUAGUAUAUUGAUGGGUGGUGAUAUUGUCACCCCUUAAAUUGUGUAAAGUCAACCUCAUUUACAAAUUUUUUGAUAUAAAUUAAAAAGUACAUUAGUUUUAAUAAAUUAUAUAUUUAUUGAAUAAACUAGAACCGUUAGGGAGCUGUAAUGUUAGCACUGUUUUAACUUAUUAUAAAAAAAAAAGUUAUGAUUUGAUCAUAACUCUAAUUUAGAAAAGAAAAAAGAGUUGAAUUGCUAACAUACUUAAAAAUAAAAUAAAAACAUUAUUAUUAGAUGAAAAAUUGUAAAACUUAAGGGGGCAUUUGCAAGUCCGCCACUACUCAAUAGAGCAUUAUUCAGUACUCGUUAAUAUAUCUCGAACUUUUAGGUUUUUUUAAUAUAUUUUUAAUACAUUUUCUAGAACAUUUAGAUAAAAAGAGUCAGUACUCCAAUUGAGUUGUGAAUAAACAUUUAGAUAAAAAGAGUCAAUACUCCAAUUGAGUUGUGAAUAAACUCAUGUUAAAAAAAAAAAAACUCAUUUUCACACUUGAAACGAUUAGUAAAUGGGUGAUACGAAUUUAACUUGGUCAAUAAUAUAUACCAUCUUAAGUUAACUUCAACUCAUUGAUCUUCUAUAGGGUUGAUCAGCCUGCCACAAGGCCCACAAAUUAUCACCUCUAAUGCUUUUGCAACAGUCGUUAUAAAUGCUGACAAAAUGAAACUUCUAUAUAUUUUGGUUUUUUUUUAUUUCUAUGAAAUAUAAGGCCCUUAUGGCAAAUUUCCAUCCAGCGUGAAAUUUGCUAGUUUGGCCUUGGUACUGUGGCACAUGCGUCAUGCAUGCGUGGCUGAGAUGCUUCUAAAACUAAUAAAUUAUGAAGAAUUCCAAAUUCGUACCAAAAAUAAGAGAAUAGGAGCUUGUCAUAGGUGUCCGCGGAUCGGAUUUUAUGGGUUAAACAUUAAUUCAUAUUUGAUUCGUGAUUUUGUAGAUUAUAAAUUUUUAAUUUAAUUCAAUUUAUGGAUUAGUGAAACUCAAUACAAAUUCAAUCCAUAUAUAUGCAAAUUAGAUGCGGAUUUAACCCAAUGCAUAUUCAAUCCAUCAUUUGGCGGAUUGAUUUGCAAAUUAAAAGUUUUUAAUUUUGUCCAAUCUAAAAAGUAAUUAAAUUAAAAAAAUCUAAUAUAUAAAUAAUUGAUUAAAUAAAAAAAUCUAAUGUAAAAAUAAUUUUACUACCAAUUAAAUUCAAAAUUGAACAAGAUUUAAAUAAAUUUAGAAUAAUACAUUCAAAAUUUUAAAAUAUAACACACCGAAAAAAAAAUUCAUUUAUUUAGAUCAAUACAUGAAAAUUAACUAAAAUUAUGAAUUUAAAUGUUGAAACUUGAAAGCUUGGAUGUAACAGGAAGAAUUUAAGAAACUUGAAGAGCUUGAAAAGAAAGUAAGAAAUUAAGUUUAAUUACCUCAAGUGGUGAAGUGAAACAGUGAUUGGCUUGUGCGUGCGGUGGGAUAGAGAUUUGGUGUUAUAUGUCAAAAUAUUUUGUUUGGCUUGGGGUUUUUGUUUUGCUUUAGAAAUUUUAAUGUUUAGGAAACUAUAUUUGCUUAUUUAAUUAUUUCUUAUUUUAUAUUGUUAUCGAAUAAAAUAUAAUAUUUUGUUAAUUUAGCUAUAAUUUUAUGCUGAAUAUAUUUAUUUAAAACGAUUUUAUUAAAUAAAUGUGCAUAUUUAACGAAGGUCUCUGAAAUUUCAACCUGCCUGCUAAUGAUAGCCAAUACGGCACGACCCACCAAAUGUCGGCCCACGCGGGCUUGUGGGCCAUGACGACUUUUUUUGUAAGGGCCCGGCACGGCCCACGGCACGAGUCCGUGCCCAAAAAAAGCCCACCUACCUUUUUUUUUUUUGUCCACAUGUUCAGCGUGCCUAAAAAAACCCACGUGCCUGACGUGCUUUUUUAAGCCCACCAGCCUAAUAGUAACAACAACAACAACAAUAAUAAUAAUUUCAUAGAAAUAAUUAAUGAAAAAUAAAAUAACAAUUCUAGAAUAACAAUUACAUCUAAUUUUAUUUGAACAACUAAUAUUAUAAUUGCACAUAAACUCUAUUGAAUGAAAAUGUAAUUUUUAAUUUAUUAUAAAAAUAUUUUGUUCAUAAUUUUAUUUUUUUGUGCGUAAAUAUGAAAAAUAUUUCAUUCACAAAUGAAACAUAUCUCCAUUAACUAUUAACUAAGUUAUGAUUUCAUAAAUGAAAUAUUAAUGUCGUAAAAUUUUUUAUUUAUCAUUUAUAAAAUCAUGAUAUUUAUUUAUCCAUUUAAUAAAUUAUAAACAUAAAAAAAUUAGAAUACUUAUUUAAACUAGGACUUAAAUUAAUUUUAAAAAGCCUAUACUAAAAAAAUAUAUUAAAAUUUUUAAUUUCAAGGUAUUUAUAAAAUCAUGAUAUUUUAUAUUUAUUUUUCAUUAAAAAAUUUUAUUUUGAUAUACUUUGGCCCACGUGCUAUUGGUGGCCCACGGGCCGCGUGCUUAGCCCACCAAUAAAGUGUGCUUAUUACAUGCCUUUUCGCGUGCCGUGUUUUGCCCCAUCUCUAAUCAUACCGUGCUUUUAAGGCCUGCGUGCCUAAAAUUCUAGGCCCGCCAGCCGUGCCGUGCCGUGCCGUGCCUCGUGCCGCCUGGCCCAUUGGCCAUCCCUACUGCCCGCCAACCACAUUUGUCCAAGAUCAAUUUGUAGGAAAAAAAUUUGAAAAUCAAUAAUUUAUUUAAUUAAUUGUUAAUGUAGGCAUUUGAAUCCCCACAAAAUCUGGGUGUCAGUUCUAGACUUCUGGUGAUAUAUUUUUCUAAUUAAGGAAUAAAAUAUUUUUGUCAUUUUUUUAAUAUUUUAAUUUACCAGGCAUAUCAACUAAUUAAUUUUUCUACUUAGACUAUUAAUUCAUUACGUGCGCAAUCUGUAGCCCGGCGCUCCAAUCCCAUGCAUGUUACACACAACUCAAUCAUUAUUUAUUUAUUUAUUUAUUUUGACCAACAACUCAAUGUUUUUUAUAGAGCUGUCAAAAUUUGACACGACCCGAUUACCCGACACGAACACGACAUAAAUAAAUGGGUAUGGGUCGUCAAAUUUAACACGAUUAUUAAAUGGGUCGGGUCCGGGUCAACACGAUUUUUUUCCGUGUCGGGUUUUGGGUUAAAAUUCUUGACCCAUUUACCCGAUCAAUGACCCGAUUAUAUUUUCUAUUUUAAAAUAAUUUACAUAUUCUUAUAAUUAAAACUCAAAUAUUAGAGAUGAUUUUCUUUUUUUUUAUUCUUUAAAAGGGUGAUAUAUUUUAUAAUAUCGAUAAAUUAUGUAUGUAUGUAUUUAUGUACAUACGUAUGUAUGAUAGUGUGGAAAUAUUUUAUGUAACUUUUGUUCAAUAUAUAGAUAUUAAACGGGUUAUUGGGUAACCCGAUUAUUUUUCCGUGUCGGGUUUGGGUCUCAAUAUUUUGACACGAUUAUUAAAUGGGUCGGGUUUGGGUCGACCUAAAUUUGACACGACACGAAACUGACACGACAUGAACACGACCCGAUGACCCGUUUUGCCAGCUCUAGUUUUUUAAUAUGAAAAGGUAUUGGUUAGCUUUGUCUUUAGUUUUUUCAACUUAUAAUAAGUUUGUAUUAAGGCUCCCUUUGGUACAGAUUUUCAAGUAAAACUUAUUUAGGGUUAUUUUUAGGGACCUCCCCUGAGGUUUGGUGUAUUAACAAUCUGAUAGAAAGUAUUCACGUAAUUACAAAGACCUCCCCUGACAUUUGUAUUAUGUUAAGUGGACUGUUAUUGACUAUUGAAAAUCCAAAAAUACCCUUCCUGCCAAAAUAUUUCUUUAUUCACUGAUGAACUGAUGGGUAAUUCGUGCCAAAAUCACAAAUUACUUAAGAAGAUGAAAAUAUCCAUUGGAUAAAAAAAAUGAAAUUGCUUAAUAAAAAAAUUGACAUUGCAUAAUAAUAAAAAAAAUUGAAAUAAUGUGCGGCGGCAUAGCUGCAUCUUGCAUGCAUAUUAUUAUUGUGAUUUUUUUAUUACAAACUCCAUCCUGCAUGCUUAUUAUUAUUGUGAUUUUUUUUAUUACAAACUACUUCAUAACUAAUACAUGCCACAAGAGCAGAGCUAUUAAAAGAAAUGAUUUUCAUAUUGUAAACUUGAUAGUACAGGUGUUGGCACCGACCAUAAAACCCUUAUGAUACCAAUCUUUGCUCCAUCCAUAUUUAAAUCCAGAUCAAGUAAAUAUUAAAUUGGAUUUCAGGUCCUGAAAAUCCCACUCUAUAAUUGAUAUCUUCGAGUUUUGUUGGUGCCUCAAACCUGGAUCUAGAGCAUCAUCUCUGUCAUACUCGGAACACCUAAACUAAUGGACUUGCUGCAGCUGCUUAUUCUUCUUCUGAAAUGAUGCACGCAGAUAGAUUACAGACUUUGAAAUAAGAAAUACAAUAAACAACAUGUAAUCGAACUUAAGAUUUCGGCAAACUUGUUUGAAAAUUAGAAUCAAACAAGGAAAAUGGCAAGUCAAUAUUUUUUAAUCUAGAAAAAGGGCAAUUUCAAAGUUUAUCACAUGCCAAAUUCAUAGUCUUGCAUCCACUAUUUUCUAGUUUGAAUAACAAACAAAAGCCUUAGACAAAAACACAGAGAACAUCUCACAUGGGAGCAAAAAUUGUGUGUAGAACAAUAUACUUAAGUUACAUGUGAUUACAAUCACAUUAUUUAGCAAAUACAAAAUUACCUUCUCAAAAAAAAAAAAAAAAAAAAAAACACCACCAAAUUAUUGAAGGUAUUACAACAAUAAGGCAAAAGAACACCAAAGGCAUGCACAAACCGAAACUAACACACAACUCAAUUAGUGUCAUGACCCCAAACUGAACAAUCAUAUAAACCAUUGUGGGCUCUCUAAAAGAUUAUCACAUUAUAAGCAAACAGAAACCUAUAUUUGAUGAACUACAUCUAGUACUUACACAACUCUUAAAUCAUUAGGAAAUUGCUCUUAUCAGUCAUUACCCAAUAGUUUUUUUCAACUCAACACUAACAACCCCAAAGAGAAACAACAUCCAGCACCAUUUUCAUUAAUUAAAACAGACCCAUUGUUAUUUUUAAUCAAUAAAAUAACAACAAUAUCGUGUAAGCCACUGAUUCAAGCAUUCAAGCUGUGUUUUCGAAGACUGACCUCUUCUUGCUAUCUAAUUCCAGUCACGAUAGACGCUAGAUGCCGGCAAUACUCGCUUCUUGGAAGCUCUGGACCACCGCACGACGUCAUCUUGUGCAGUAGAUGAAAAUAAAUCAAUGAUUUCAGAAAUUAUUUGUGAGUUGCAGACGCUUCUUCUCCAUGGAUGAAAAUGAUGGUGGGUUUUGUUCAAGUGUAAGCUGUGUUUACGAGGAGAAGUACACUUUGUGAAAAAAUCAUUUUCUUUCAUCUACUGGAUAAUGACUUUGGACUGGGUAAUGGUGUGUUUAAGUCUCUAUUUCACGGACAUUGAAGCAUAUUUUGCUUGAAUUUUGAUUUUGUUUAAAUUUCAAGUUUACUUUUACUUGUUUACCCUUUUAUACUGACGCUUAUGUAUUUUUAUACUAACGUUAAGGGAGGUCUUUGUAAUUAUAUGAAUACUUUCUAUCAGACUGUUAAUACAACAAACCUCAGGGGAGGUCCCUAAAAAUAACCCAACUUAUUUAAAUAGAACUUUUACAAAAAAAAAUUUAGUUAUUUGGUUGUCAAUAAACUUUUCAAGUAUACUUUGUUUGGUACAGCUUUUCAAGUAAAACUUAUUUAAGUAGAGCUUUUACAAAAAAAAAAAAAUUAGUUGUUUGGUUGUCAAUAAAAAUUUUUAUUAAAAAAAAUAUGAAAUUACUUUAUUAGUCAAGUUUUUUUAAAGUUAUGCUAUGAAAAGAAUAAAAUAAGAUUGUCAAAUAAAUAGAAAAUAUUUUAAAUAUUUUAACAUUUAAAAAAACUUUUUAACCUUUAUUUUCAAAAAUCUAAAAUUUAAACUUUUACUAGUAAAGGCAAAAUAAUUUAUUUAAACUUCAAAAGCUUUAUUAGAAAAAUAAUCAAACAAUAACAAAAAUUAUUAUAAAAGCUUAUCGAAUUAAAUAAGUACUUAUAGUUAUUAAAGAAGUUAUAUCUAACAGACACUAAUGCCGAAAGCCCCUUCUAAUUGUGGGUGUAAAAGUUUGAAUUAUGCAUACGGUUAAGGAGUUAAGGUGUGUUUGGCAACUGCAUUAAGUGGAAAUUUUUAUUUUGUUUCGAAUAAAAAUACAGCAAGCUCGUGUUCGGCUCAAAAUAAUGGAACGUUUAAUUUGCAACCGUCGGCGGACGAAGCACACCGUUCACGGCCCUUCGUAUAAAAUUGCAUAUGUAAACGUAAAUAGGUCCGGAUUCAGAUUCGUUGCUGUAGAGAGUGGCACGCACGAUCGGGCUGCUGUCGGUGGUAGGUUGGCAUUGGAAUUCUCAUCACGCGCUUCCCCAGGCGCCUACUUAUGGCAAAUUGACACGUGACGCGUGUGGAUUGAAUGGACAGAGUCCCGGGCAGUGUGUCCAAAGCUGCCAACCGUGCUCUGAUUUUUGUCAUCCAUAAUGGCUAACGACUAACGAGGGAGAUUUCCGGGCAGAAAGAAAUUGUUGUCGUUUCUGAAGGGGAAAAAAAAGUUAUUUAAUUUGUUGUUGAAGACAAAAUGAAGAUCUAAAUAAAUAAUGGCUAAUUUUGAGUGUAAAGCAACGGUAAAUGCAUUAUUAAAUUAGAUUUAGGGUCUGAUUGAGAUUAUUUUUAGAUUUAAAAUUAAUUUUGAAAAGUUAAAAUUAAUUUUGAUGUUUAUUAAUUUUUAUUAAAAAUUAUUUUUGUCAAAAUCUCUCAUCCUCCAGCAUAUUAUAAAAAAUAAGGAAGAAAUAAUUUUUUAAAAUUUAAUUUUAAGAAUCAGUUUUAUACUUAAUAUAAUCCACAUAUAUCCUCGUAAAUAUUAUAAAAAUUUAAAAUUAUUCUUAUUUAUUUAGGAUAUAAAAUUAUUAAAUUCAAACAUAUUAUUAUUAUUAUUAUUAUUGUUAUUAUUAUUAUUAUUAUUAUAAAUUCACACACGCACACACAUACUUAUAAAUUUAUAAAUAAACUUUAUUUAACAUUUUGUUCACUUAAAUCAUUUAUAUUCUUAUAGCAGUUUAACAUUAUGAUUUACCAAACACAGAUAAUUAUUUUUAAAAUCCAUAAUAUUUUUUAAAAUAAAUUUUAAUAAAUGUUUAACUUAUUAUUCUGACAACUGAUUUUUUUUGUAAGGUAUAACCAUUAAUAAUAAAUAUUUUAAAAGUUACAGUAUCCCCAAAUUGGCCCUUACUAAUACUCUGCGUUGCCAACUAAAUACUAAUUGUAACAUUAAACAUCUGGAAUAUUUUUCUCUAACGAAACAACACAAUUAAUUUCCCUCUAAAAAAGAAAAAGAAAAAGAAAAAAUAAACUACCAACCCCACCCCUUUAGACAGCAGAGUUUUAGCUGAGGCGGCUUGCUUGCAUAAGCAUUAAGGCUGCUCUUCACCAACCAUUGAACAUUCUUUCCAUUUGAUUGUUACACUUUACUUCGCCAUCUCAUGUCCAUGUACAUUGUUUUGAAAUGAAGACUUUGCGUACAACUAAUCUUUUUCAAUUCAUAAUAAAAACUCUUUUAAUUAGUUAAUAGCUAUAGCUUCCAAUUGAGACUAUAUAUAAAAAUCCAUAUUGACUGACCAAACCAAUAAUUUUUAAUUGGCUUGAGCAUUGUCUUACUUACUUCAAAAUCGUCACUCUCUUUGAAAAGAACAUGAGAGAGUUCACCUCCAUCUCAACCCUUAACCCUAUAUCUCAGUCAAGAGAUUAUUCAUGGAAAAUUCAGAAAAAAGAAAUGUUGCAAUAUUUACGAAACUCACGUCACGUGAGGUAAGAUAAAUUAUUCCUUUCUGCUUUAAUUCAUGUACAUAAUCAUGAGAAUAACUUUAAUUAUAGUUUAUUUCUCCGUUUUAAGAUUUUUCCUUUUUUUUUUUUAAUUAAUUAAUUAUAGUUCAUUCAUUAAUCCCAUAAGAAAUUAACACCUUUGCCGGUAAAGUCACACAUACAACAAUAUUUUAGAACAAAAGGGAAGAUCAUGCACGAUCAUGAUGUUUUAUUAUAUCUCUAGCAAUAUAAUUAUCUUAUAAUUAAUUAAAAACAAAACAGGUAAUUAAGCCAAAGUGGAUGGCAUGCAUCAAUCAUCAUGCAGAACACCUCCCCUUGUUUUAAAUAUAAAUAAAAGAAAUUUGUGCCCAGAAGACUUAAUUAAUACUUCUCGUUUCUGAAGUGCUCACAUGAUAUAUAGUCGGACGCAUUAUAUUUAAUUUCAUGAAUUAAUCGUACGGUUGUAUUUUGAGAGAGAGAGAGAGAGAGAGAGUGACUGAGUAAGAUAUGGCUUAAUUUAACCAAAUCUACGUAUAAAAUUUUAAAAUGAAUUUUUGAGUUUUAACUUAGGAAUUGUCUAUGAAUAAAAGUGUUAAUCAAAUAUUUCGUGUAAAAACAGUCAGCUGUAACAUUUUCGGUUGCUUUAACAAAACUGUAUAUUUCUGUAAUUUCCUAUAUGGGCCAAAAGGAACAUUUUUCUCAGAAAUUAAAAACUUAUGGUGAAAAAGAUAAGAAAACCAACAGGUUCAAAGGUGCGAGUAAACUGGGCUCUGGUGCGCCCAACUCCCUCUUUUGAUUUUGAGACUCUAUUGACCAUUGAGUUUGAGGCCCCAACGGCCCAGUUUAAAACUGUUAUGAAAAGAAAAAAAAUAUAACUAUAAAAUUAAAAUUAAUAAUGUUUGAUAAAUAUAAUUUUUAAAUAAUAAUUUGACAAAAAUAAUAUAGGGUCUUGUGUAUAUUUUUAUUUGGCAUUUCAAUUAAUCUGCUUAUAUAUAUAUAUAUAUAAGUUAAUCUAUAUUUCUUGCAAGAAGAUAGUAUUUCUUUAAUUAAAGUCAUAACUAAUAUAUAAAUUAUCAACUAACCAUCAAACAUUUAUCUCAUUUUAUCUCCACCACGAUCAUCACCAUUCAUCCUGUCACGAUCUUUAUGUAACUACAAUUAUUUUUUCUUUAAUAAUGUCAACCCACCAACCCCAUAACAAUAUCUCCAAACAUCUCAUCUCAAAAUUCCUAAUAACAUAAGUGUUUAUGUAUGAAAGAAAAUGUGAAAUAUAUAAUCAAAAAGUAGUUUAAUAAUAUAAUGUUUAAAAAUUAUGGUAAAAAUAAGUGAGAGUUUGGCAUGGCAAGUUAAUAAAAAGAUAAAAGCUCGGACACUUGAUGCAUCAAAGUAGCAAUGUCUGUCCAUCAUUAUCAUCAUGCGGGUUUAGGUGCUUCUCAUGAUAGCAUUAGCUGGUAAGACCAUCAUGCAUCGUACUUUCAUUGUUAUACAUUUUGAAGGUAAGAAUGGUUAUGUUACGUCCCUCCGAUUAGGUGUAUUUUUCUUCUUCUUCUUCUUCUUUUUCUUCUUCUUGUACGUAAUAAUUUCUCUUUCUUCCAUGAAGAUUUCUUUCUCUCUUUCUUUUUUUUUUUUUUAUUAUAAAUAAAAUGAUAAGAACUAAUUUCCUUACUAAUUGGUAGGGUCGUUUAAUGGUUCAGAUCCAUUAGAUUUUGUCAAAUUCAAGUCCAAUCCAUCAUAUAUUCCAUUUUAUAUUCCGGAUCCGAUCACUAAUAGAAAUCCAUUAUAAUUUAAAACAAUAAAACGUCGAAUCCAAUUUAAUUCGAUAUGAUCAAUCCAAUUAAAAUAAAAAUUUACAAAUAAAAAUCAUUAGUUGCUCUCUCCAGUUAUAAUUCUUAACAAUUAAAAAAAAUACAAAAUAUCAACUCCUUUAAUAUUUCAUGAUUCAUGUACUUUAUUAUCAUAUGGUUGGAAAAAAAAGUUGAAAUUUGAAUAUUAAAAGCAAAUGUUGGUUGCGACCUGCUGUUUGUAUUCUAUAUUGUUAUAGUAUAUUUAUAGUUAUUUUUUUAGCAAGUUAAAUAUAAAAGUGACAUAUAGUUUUUUUUUAUAAAAAAAAAUAAAUAAAGAAAAUAAAAAAUUAAUUGGUUGGAUUGGUUUAUAUUGGAUUUGAACAUAUAGAUCCAUAGACCAAUCUAAUAACAUUAUAUUUUUUAUUUUGCAAUCUUAUCCAAUCCAAUCAAAAUGUCAAUAUGACAAAAGUUGGAUUGGUUUUGAUCAGAUCGAUUGGUUUGAUUGGAUUGAAUUGAAUUAGAUCUUGAACAUCCUACCAAUUAGACUUUCCGUGAUUUUUUUUUUUCCAAAUUUAAUAAAGAGACUUCCCAUGAAUGUUAAAUGCAGUUUUAUUGAUGAAUUCUGCAAUUUUAAGAAAUGUUUGAUACACGAAUAAUGCAUCUCAUCAACCAAGUAACUGCGUCCCCUGCAGCAGCCGCGGCUUCAACUGGAAUACUGCAGCCACACCGGUCUUGAGACUCAACAUUCGGCCGAAACUCAAGCAAAAGUUGAACAAUAUCAGGCCUGCUUUGAGCUAUAGCAAUAUGAAGCAAUGUUUGUCCCUGCGCACCAGCAGAAUCAGCUGGGUGGGUUCCAAGCAGGGUCACUCUGUUCAAGAACCUCUCUUAUCUCAUCCAUUUCACCAUCCUUAACUAGCUGAACCACAACAUGGGACCCAACAAACAUGAUCUUGAUUCCUAUUGAUGAACGCUGGCUUCUUCCUUCUUGUGAACCAGUCACCAGGAACCGAAUCAAGCAUCAAUGUUGCAUCUUUAAUUGCAGCUGCAGGAACGACAACGCUAUGCAAGAGGAAGGAAUCAUCACAGUGAGGGAAAGUAUGAAGGAGAACUGAUCCUGGAGGAAGAUGAUACGCAAUCUCUAUGCUUACUGUUCCGAGUGGUUGCAUUGACCUGAAUAGUUCGAUCUAUUUCUCGUGUAUCUACUUGCGCUGCACUUUCACUCGAAGAACCUACAAAAUUAUUCAUAACCCGGCAUAAAAAAGACGUAAAGUUUUCAGCGCGAGCAUGGUAACUUCAAAACCCGUUUCAUACCUAUCAUAUUUCAUUCGUCCCGCACCCUCAUUUAAAAGACUAGAGCUUAUAAAAACUAGAAGUACCUUACCCAGAACAUAAAAGCAGACAAAACCCAGUCGAGUAUAAAUAUAACGUUGAAUAACACCUACCAUUUACCAUUUCAUUCAAGAACACCACACAAUUAACGAAACCAACAUCGGUAUGUUUUCAGCCGUUGUACUUUCAACUUAAUUUUGAAAGCGCGGCAGCUAAAGCCUAAACUGUUGUUUGAUAAAAGUCCACCCACUGACUGCUACCUGGCGGCUACCGAUUCCAUUCAAUAGCAGUCAUAAAAUAAAAAGUACAAAACAAACCUAUGUACAAAAAAGGCAAUGAAGCAGCCAUGGAUUCAGUUAUUUGCAUGUUUGGGAUUGUGGUUGAUUCCAAAUUGAGAAUAUACUGCGAAAUUAUGUUUGAUAAGCAUUUAUCUGAUGAUUGCUACUUUAUUGAGUGCCUGUUUGGUAUGGCUUAUUUAAAAGCCAUAAGUGCUUAUUUAAUCGUAUAAGCACUUUUUUAAAAUUUUUAUGGUGUUUGGUUAUUUUUUUAGUAGAGUUUUUUUAGCUUAAAUAAGCUAAUUUACCUCUACUAGCAAAAGCCCAAAAUUUGAGCUUUUGGGAGUAGAGGUUAAAGAGCUUAUCUAAAAAAUAUAUAAUAAAAAAAAUAUCAUACAGUUUAAUGAUUCAAAAGUGUUUUUUUUAUUGACAACCAAACACCCAAUGACUUUUUGUCCAAAAACUCUAUUGGUAUAAGCUCUACUGCUAUAAGCUCUAUUGUUAUAAGCUCUAUUUAAUAAGCUGUACCAAACGGAGCCUAAAGCAUUCAUUUUUUUUUUUCGCGUUUGGCCUCUUCACUUUUUAAAAAAUUUUAUGGUGUUUGGUUAUUUUUUUAGUAGAGUUUUUUUAGCUUAAAUAAGCUAAUUUACCUCUACUAGCAAAAGCCCAAAAUUUGAGCUUUUGGGAGUAGAGGUUAAAGAGCUUAUCUAAAAAAUAUAUAAUAAAAAAAAUAUCAUACAGUUUAAUGAUUCAAAAGUGUUUUUUUUAUUGACAACCAAACACCCAAUGACUUUUUGUCCAAAAACUCUAUUGGUAUAAGCUCUAUUGUUAUAAGCUCUAUUUAAUAAGCUGUACCAAACGGAGCCUGAGUCUUCAAAGAAAAACUCAAUCAACUAAUGCUCGAUUUUUUUUUUUAAAUGACAAAUCAAAAAGUAUUUUGGAGUAGAUUCUCAAAAGAGUGAUUAUUUGAUAAUCCACCAUAAUCCCACUUAGUUAUCAGAAAUAAAUUAAAAUCCGACGAAUGUUACUUAAGCCAAACAGCAUUAUUUUAUUUUGACCACAAGGACCACAACCCUCAAGCUGUCAAGCAACCGUUACCGUUAACGACCAAUCUUUCACCUCUCCGAAUCUUUGCAAGUCACUAUCAAGCAACCGUUACUAAUAUUUAAUCAAUUAUUAGGAUUAUUGGAUUUCUCAAAUACCUUAUGUACUUUGGUUCACUUUCUACUAAAAUAAAUAUUACAGGAGCUUUCAAAGUCUAGGCUAAGGUUGUUGUAAACAUAGAGAGAUUCAGAGAUAUAACAGCUUGUAAUUACAUACCACAAAGCAUAACUUUGUUCGAAUGAUAAUGAUCAUAAUCCAGAUUAUAGACGUAGAGAGAGGAGAAGUCGUACUUGAGGGGCAAAACGCGGCGUUUUGGCUCGUGGAUGAGGUGCUGCUCCUGAUCGUCGUAGAUUGAAGGGAGGAGAGGUCGGUCGAGGAAGUUUAGGAGACGGUGGAGGCUGAAUUGGUGAAUUUCGAUGAAGACUGACGAAUCCAAUGGGGCUUGAGGGUUUGAUUUGCAAAGAUGAAAGAUAAGAGCAUUGUUUUGGUUUCUGUGCAAAAAAAAAAAAAAAAAACAUGACAAGCGUUGUUUUGGUUUUGGUUCUAAAAAGAUGAAAAUUUGACUGCAAUGGAUCCAUACGCAGUCGGUGUCAAAUAAGAGGAGAAACAAAUAUGUUAAUCACUCGCUCAAUCACUCAUGCGAAGUGCCUUUUUUUUCGUUGCUUUGGCUUCUGAGAAAUAUAUGCAUCAGAUAUUACAACUCUCGAGGAUAAUGCAUUUUGUUCCGGUUUUGACUGAUAUUUAGUGGCAUUUGAUAAACUGAUACCUCAGAACCUGGUAGAGAGUUUAUUAAAUACAAAGAGAACAAAAAUAUAUGACUAUAUAAGCUUUUACACGGUUGAAGAUCCGGUCAAAUUGGCUUUAGUUAGCAAGAUCAUUUAAAACUUUCAAAAAACGAAUGGUAUCAAAAAGCUCUGAGAAAAAGCGGAAAAAAGGCACCACAAAGAUCUUGCAAUUAUUAUCACAGCUUGAUAAGACAUGGAAAUGUAUCUUACAAAUUGGCCUUCCAAGCAUCAAAGAAUUGGGUGGCGACAACUCCCAUUCCUAGCUGCUACCGUGGCCAGUCCCUUCUAACUAAAAUGGGACAGGACCAAAAGCAAGGUCUCUCCCACUCUCCUUAUGUAUAUAAAAUUCCCUACAUUCGAAUAAAACUACAGAAAAAGAUUUGCACAUCAUCUUCUUUCACCUUAUUUUGCAAUCUUCAAGAGUUUGGAAGAUUUCAAAGCACUUGUUAGAAUGUAGCACUCCAUUAAGCAUUCUCACCUUCCCCACACCCCAAUGGACCUCCUUAAUCCUAUCGGCAGACCUACAAAUUCUGCUGCAACUCCAAUCAAAUAAAGCAACACAAUUGUUGCCUGCCUAAGCCUUCCACUCACAGCCUGCAAUGACAAGUUCAUGAUACAAAAUCAGAAACAUUAAUAAACAAAAAGAUAUUACCAUUACUUGCAGAGGGGGAUUUGUUGCAAUUAGUAAAUGCCAUACUUAUCACUUUCAUUGCAGAUAUCAUCAUCAUCAUAAUACUAGCAAUCCAGCACUAAUAGUCAGAAUAAUAAUAAUAGUAGCAUGAAUAAAGAAUUUCUGCAGAGUAAGCUCUAAAGAUGCCGAAAGUGUCAUCUAUUAUGUUAAUAAUAAAAAAGUCUAUCAAGAAUUCAAGGAAAGAAAACUCAUUAACAAAGAACUAAACUUUUUAAUAAUGUUUAAUAAACUACGUACCUAUGAUUUUCUAUUAUUAACAUAAAUGACACUACGUACAACUGAUUUUCGCUUUCUAAUGUUUCAAAUCAUACCGAGAAAUAUAACAAUUACCAAGUCAGUAAGUAGCACAAUUACUUAAUAAGACUUUGACUUGUCUAACCCAAAAUUGUACCCAAUUCUAUACUCUACCAUGAAAAGCUUAUGAAGCCGAACUUACUUUGACCAAACAGUACUAUUAGCUCAGUUAAAGGAAACCACAAUUGAACAAAGUUCAGCUGAAAUAACUGAACUAAAAAAACUUGAUAAAAUUAAAAGUAACUUAUAACAGUUUAGUAAAGAAGCAUACAAAACAUGAAGAUAAAUAAACAUAGGUCUAUUUUCUUGACACUACCAGGUCCUUUCCUUUUUUUUUUUUCAGAUAAGAUCUCGAUACUACCAAGUUUUGGAUUCAAAAUCACCAUAUUACAAUAAUAGUUGUGAUUCAUGGGAUACAAUAUGUAGCAGCUUAUAUGUCGGCAAUUAUAGUCAAAGAUGGUUGUCAAACAUCAUCGCAAAUCAAGAAGCUAAUAAAGACCAUGUCACACUACAUUAACAUAUAUCAGUUCUUUGAUACAAAGAUAUUGAAUGUUAUACAUUUCUAAUCCCAAGUCCUGAAAUACAAAACAAAAGUUCACUUCACACAGUCAUAAAGCUAGACUGCUAGAUAAAUGGACAAUAGGCAUUGGAUAUGGGUCAAUAAACUAUUAAGCUAAUUAAUGCACACGAAGGAAUCCGUUAGAGCUAGUAAAAUAGCCCUUACCAGAGAACUCGCAGAAGCAUUCAAUUUCCUCAAAGGAGAUAACUUACAACAUAAACAUUUUGAUAAGCAGCAACACACAUAAAAUAGCUUCACUCACUAGCAACAGAGCAACUUCUUCAACACAUUAAUAAAUCCAUUUUCAUUUUUAAACAACAAAAUAAUGCCCAGUUUCUCCAGCACAAAUAGGGUAAGCAGUAAUAGAAAAACAUGAUACAUAGGAAUUACCGGCCUCAAGAAAUCUCCAAGCUUUCUGUCCUCUGCUUCAAUUGCUCAAUCAAGAAUGCCCCAGACGUUGCGCUAGCGUGGUGGUGGAGCGUCGCGAAGCGUGUGGCGGCGGUGUCGGCGAAGGCAGGUCAUGAAGAUAGUUGGUGUCGCGCAGCGAAGGCAGUGCAGCUGGUGUCAUGCGGCGAAGGCAAAUCGCGUGGUGGUGGAGUUGGGGUCGCGCGGCAGUGGCGGUGCGGUGCUGAGGCAUAAUAGUGGCGGUGGCGUUGUGCGACAGUGGCAGUGUGGAGGCAGAUUGCGUGGAGCUGGCGGUGUUGAGGCAGAUCGCGUGGAGGCAGAUGCCGCGGUGGUGGAGUUGCUGUCGCGAUCAACGCCUGUGAAAGGGAAUGAAAGUGAAGGAGAUACCUACAAAAGAAAGAACGAGUGAAAUUUUUUUUUUUGUUCAAGGGUUUCAAACCCACAUAAACCCGACUCUCACACGGGUUCAGUAAGUUUAUGCGGGUUUGACUGCAUUACAAAUUGGUAUGACCACAACAACAGUACAAUGAUUGGUAAUUACCAAACAUGCUAUUUAUGUUGGUAUUAAAUUAAUUUAAUACAAUGAGGAGUGGUAAUAUCAUACAAUGAGGACUGUUAAAUAUGGUGUGUUUAAUAUGUUGUAUUGUAUUAUAUUAUUUUAAUACAAAUAUAUUAUAUUAUCUUGUAUUAUAAUAUAAAAUAAUGAAAAAUAUCGAAUUUCAAUAUAUAAAAAAAAAAUAAAUAUAUUUUGUUAUAUUCGAUCUGCUGUACGGCCAAGGCGGAUGUACGGUACAGCAGAUAAGAAUUUAAAUACAUACACUUAUAAUACAACUUAGUUUUUCCACAUUGUCGAGGGAUCAAAACAACCCAUCAUUGGAGUCCAAUAAGUUAUGUGGCGACACAAAAAAGUAAUUCUAUAUUUUUUACGUCAUAAAUAUGUAAAAAAAAUUGUAUUAUAUCUUAUUAUUAUUAGUUUUUUUUCUUCAGUUUUGACAAGUAUAGUUUUCUUGUUGAGUGGCUCAACAAGGCUGGUUACAAUUUCGAAAUAAUGUUCCAUCUGUAUCUGUUUUCCUUUUGUUUUUGAUUUUGUAGUAUAGUUAAUUUGUACGAAUUUGUUGCCUGGUUGGUUUUUAUGCUGAAAAGUCAGUUCAUUGGAAAUGACAGAAAAUUGUUUUUCUUUUUCAUUUUUACAGAAAGAGAUUUGCAACGUUAUAAAAGUAAGAGAUCCUAAGAGAUCCCUGAAUCAUAUUAAAUAUUAAACUUAAGAUACAGUCAAGGCUUUUAUUAUGUUACUAAUCAUGUAACGAAUAUAAUUAUGUAGCAGUCGUUAAAUACAAAUUUAACAGUUAUAAAAAUAACAUGAUUUUAUUAUCUUAUAUUUCUAUAAUCGUUGAAUUUUUAUCUGCUGUACCGUACAUCCGCCUUGGCCGUACAGCAGUAUUGAAUUUUAAAAAUUUAAUAUUAUUUUUUUAAUAUAAAUAUUAAAAAAUAUCAUAAUUCUUCAUAGAAAUCGAAGUUCAUGGCAUUAAAUUUUUAACGCCGCAUACAUAAUAAAAAAUUUGAUUCUCUAGUGCCAAUAUAAUAGAAUACAUAAAAACGAGACUGAGAAACUACGAAUAAAGCUCAUCAUCAAGGACUCCACAACAUUAUAAGAAGUACUAUGUAACAUUUGCCAAAUUACAACACCACAUCAAGACAUAUCACAAUGUAAAAUUUUUCCUAGAGAUUUGGUAAUUGAAAAACACAAUUCAAGUUGAAAACUGAUAGUCGACUUGAAAAGUUUUAACAUAUCCCAUAAAAGAAAUGUGCCAUGCCAAAAAUCCUAACCCUUGGCUCUUUGACGAUAAGAAAAUAUUGAAAAUUCCAAAGUACAGUGCAAUGGGAGAAAGAAUGCCUAUAAAGCUAGUAAAGAUAUUCUUAAACUACUAUUGGGAUGUUGGGCUGGUUGGUAGCAAAACCCAAACCCUGCUGCUGAUUUCCGAUACCACCAUCUUGGAUAAGCCGCUCUCCCUCCUCUUCCUAACUCCUAAGCCCAAUAUCUUUCCAAAACCUUCACAACCCACUCAUAAAUCUCAUUGUUGUCGUGGAUAUGCAAAUUCUCAAUCUUUUCUACUCCAUCACACUCAUCAAUCAUUUGGGUAUAAACAUUAACCCAAUUAUCCAUUCCUAUUUCCUUGUUAACCUCACCCACCUUGAAAAUGUUCUCAAGACCCUAUAGACAAACUGUGACGAUCCUUUGGUCCAGACAAACCAGAAGAUCACAGAGCGGUUUGAUGCAACCUUGGCUCACCAGGAAUCUGCAGGACCAUGGUACCAUAAGUGAUUCUAUCACAUGAACAUCAUUAGAUUAAAAAAAGAAAAAAAAAAGAAACAUCUAUCGUAUGAACAUUGCUGAGUGAAUAAAAGAAACAUACUGAAUAUGUUCAUGAGAUCCUCCAUAUGUGGCAUUUAAGACAGGCCAUGCAGCCUCCUUGAUUUCAAGUUCUGCAUGUUGAAGAAGAGGUGCACAAAAGGAAGGAUAAGGAAGGAUGAUAUUGGCCUCCAUAACAGCCUGUUGAACAAAAAUUCGACAAAUUAUAAUUAUGAGUAUAUUUAAGUAGCAAUUUUGUCAGAAUUAACUAGACUUGACUAUUGAGGAAGUCACAUUCAAAAAUAGAAAAGACGAGCAAGCAAUUGUAUUCAUGCUAUCGGGACCAAAAUACUAUGAUGCAAGCAAGAAAGAAAAACAUACAUACAUAUAAAACACUAUCUUUGAGUUGGGUAUUUUCUUUCAAUUUUGAUAAUGGCAACUUUGGAUUCUUCUGCUGAAUUACCACCACCACCACACCAUUGUAGUUUCACAUACUAAGAAAAGGCAGGUUCAGCUCCCGUGCAUGCCCAUAAGAAUAUGAUGUAUUAAUUAGAAGUAAAAUUAAUCUGUUCAAUUAAGUUCUCUCAUAUAUUUGUGUGCGUGUGUGUGUUAAUUAGUUUGCUUUCAAAUCUUUUCUCCCUUCUUAAUGAUAUAUAUUUUAAGCAUGAUAUCAACCACGAUGAAUUUAUUAGCCGAUUUUUAAUUAUACAUUCAGCAUGAUAUCACAAACCAAGAGCUUAAGUUAGCCUAAUUCUUCAUAAAUCUAAUAAUUGCAAUCAAUAAUAAUGCUGAAAAUACGAGUUUGAAUUAAGCUAGCAACUGGUUCUUAAAUUAUGCAAUAUGUAAUCAUAGGUUUACUUAAAGAUUAAAGCAUUUCUGCAAUCCAUUGUGCAAAAAGAUUAAAAAAAAAAAAAAUAGUUGCCAAAUUUUAUCUAAAUAAAAAUUCCUUUAGUGGUUAGUACUUGUGAAUUAUAGAAAUUAUUAUUAGUACUUGCUCAGCGCUUUUUAGAUUUGUACAGGUAGAUUACGCCAUUUCAAACCCGACCAUCCAUUUAGACAUACAAAUCCCCCCAAUUCCCUGUCCUCCGCCUUUACGCGACUCUCCACUGUAUGUGCCAACUAAUUAAUUUUUUAAUUACUUGUUUAACUAAUUAAUUCAUUUUCUCAAAAGCAAGAUUAAUCUAUUUGUUCAAAUCUGAAGGAGAUUAAGUUAAUUGAUUUUAUUGUAUGUAAAAAUAUACAAAGAACUCAUGAAGCCAACUAGAAAAAAAAAAAAAGACAAAAAAAAAAUCAAACCCAGAAAUAAAAAGACAUGCUUCGACAGAAAAUUAAUGAAAAUUAUACUGAUUGUGGUUCAAUUUGAUCAAACCCAAAUAAUAACCGGUUUGAUUGAUGACUCAGCGGCAAAGUGCAGGCGCAUCAGUGGUUGCACAGAUGAGUGUUCUCGUGCGGCACGACAAAGCAAUUGUCGGCGAUUGUGAUUGGUGAUGACAUCGAGCGAUGGGGGUAAUGGCAUCGGUCGUGACUUUGUGAUGGAGAAACGAAUGUUAGAUUCGUUCGAAGAUUCGUGUUUUGAUUGAAUAACAAAGAGAGAUUUUAUGAGUUUUAAUUAUCUAAUACGAUACCGCAUAAACCCGACUCGUACGUGGGUUUAUUUUAUGCGGGUUUCGGUGUACUAAAGCAGUAAAUUUAUGUGGUGCAAUUCAAACUGAUUUCACCGCCAAAAGAUCGUGUAAAUUUAAUAUUAUACAGGGUUUUAAUACUAUGUAAUCCAAUACACCAAACAUGCCCUUAAAAACGGAUAGCAAUCCGGGGCCUUUAAAAACGGAAAAUACAAGCAGAGAAAAAGAAAAGCCAAUUGUUCAAAAGUGCCUAAUAUGCCCACGGAAAAUUUUCGUCACGACCCACAGUUACUCGAAUAGGUAAUAAGACAGGAAUGCCUUUGUUUGUUCGAAUAUAGAAGCACAAUGGCUCAGAAAGGAUCCCUCCAAUCUCCUUGGCACUGUCAGCUGGGUGCGGAGUAGCUUGGUGGCAGCAACCAUGUUUGAGAGGGCUGGCUUCACCUCAGUGUACUUGCGAGUCUUGAGACCACAGUCAGGGUUAACCCACAAAAUGUUGGUUUCUAGCACAGUACGCAUCUCGUAGAUUCUGUCAACAAUUUCUUCGGUUGAUGGUAUUCUUGGAGAGUGGAUGUCAUAGACGCCAGGGCCAAUUGCAGCAUCAUACUGGACUCCCUCACGGAAGACUGACAGGAGAUUCUCAUUAGAACGAGAGUUCUCAAUGGUGAUCACAUCAGCAUCCAUGUCGAUAAUUGAGUGGAUAAUGUCGUUGAAGUUGGAGUAGCACAUGUGGGUGUGGAUCUGUCAAUCAAUAAACAAUAGAAUGAGAUACAAAAUCAACAGCUAAAUUAAAGAGAUGAGAUUGGAGAUUAAAAGGGUAACUGACCUGGGUAGUGUCCUGGAUGCCACAGUUGGUGAUUCUGAAGGAGUGGACUGCCCAGUCCAAGUAGAAAGCAUGCUCAGAUUUCCUGAGAGGCAAUCCUUCCCUCAAGGCAGCCUCAUCAAUUUGAAUAACGUUAAUGCCUGCCUUCUCAAGAUCCUCGACUUCGUCCUUGAUGGCCAAAGCAAUCUGGUAGCAGGUUUCAUGUCUGCAAAAUUGGCAGCGAUUGAUGUUAAACAAUGUUUCCAUUCCAAAAGGUUAACCAAUAGUGAACCAGUUCUCAUUUAUAUACCUGGGCUGGUCAUUUCUGACAAAGGACCAGUUGAGAAUGGUGACAGGGCCAGUAAGCAUUCCCUUCAUUGGGCGAGCAGUCAUGCUCUGAGCCCAGGAGGACCAGAAGACGGUCAUAGCCUUGGGACGGCUCACAUCACCAUAGAUGAUGGGUGGCUUCACACAGCGAGAUCCAUAGGAUUGCACCCACCCAUUGGCAGUGAAGGCGAAACCUGAUAACUGCUCUCCAAAGUACUCAACCAUGUCGUUUCUCUACAAAAACAAAUGUCCGAAUUCAAUUUGAGAUCCAGCAUACUUCGUAUGCAAUUAGAAAUGCAGAAACAAAAAUGUAUAAAAUUUUAUGUAAUUCAAAACCAGGAGACAUUGCUUUGCUUCCAUUGGGCAUUGCGAGACUCACCUCAGGCUCUCCAUGGACAAGGACAUCAAUAUCAAGCUCUUCUUGGAGUUUGACAACCUUGUUGAUUUCCUCCUUGAUGGAAGCAACAUAUUCUUCCUCAGAAAUCCUAAAAAGGACAAAUAGUCACGGCACAGUUAAUACAGUAGUUGCAGUAAUUUCACACAUGGCAUUGAAUGAAGAAACACCUCAGAUUGACUCACUUCUUAGCCUUGUAUUCACGGCGGACUCUCCUAAGUUCAAUGGUUUGUGGGAAGGAUCCAAUUGUGGUGGUUGGGAGGAUUGGAAGAUUGAGCUUCUUCUGUUGAGCAUCUAAUCUAGCACUAACGUUUGUAGCACGUCUGUGGUCUGAUCCCCUCAAAGCAGCAGCCUAAUAGACCAAGAGGAAGGAAUCACUGUUAGCAAAAAAGGAAAUUCUAAGGGACAGCCACAUCAUAAAAAUGGAAAACAAAUCAAUCAUGCCACUUACAGCCUUUUGAACUGCCUCAUUGGUCACUCUCGGGGAGGACUUUCUUGAAGCCUGAGCUGCAGCAUUGGCAGAGAAGAAUCCCUGGAAACAAAUGAUAAGGAGAACCAAAGUUAGUCUCAUUCAUAUCAUUUUAAAAAGAAGAUACAUAUGCAAUUAGUGGGCUGAUUGUGAGAGAAAAAGUCCCCAAAACUUUAAUCAAACACCAAAUGCCCAAGUUGCCAAAUGAUGUUUAAUUCGGAAAAAUAUAUUUAAAAACAUUCAAAUAUAAUUUCCCCUUCUAAAUUUUCAUUUUCAACAACAUAUUUUACAAGCCAAGCUCAACGUCAGGCCAAGAUUUUGUGCUCCUAUAAUUAUAUUUUACCAUAAAACUAGGUCCUUGAAAGGCUAAGAUUUUCUGACUCUUGUGACUAGUCAAAGCCUAAGAUUCUUUCAAUUCAUCCGUAGUAAAAGUAUACCUCAUCCUUUUGGCCAGCCAAAGCCUUGGCCAAUGCAUUGACUUCAACAACUUUCUGGGCAGCAAAUGCCAGCCAUGACUUGAUUUCGUCGUCGAGUUUGUUCUCAUUAACAAGAUCAACAGCAGUGUGAAGAAGUGAGCAGGAGGUGGAGACCACAAGCUUGUCUGCAAAGAAAAGUAAUAAAUUAUACAACAAAUCCCAUAAUAGAAUAAGAAAUAUUUAUCACAAAGAAAAAUGCAAGCAAAGGAUGUAUACCUUUGCCAACAACACCCUCAAGCCCCCGGAGAACACUAAGAGAAGCAGCAAGAUCAUUGGCCCAAAUGUUCCUUCCAUCAACCACUCCAGCAAAGAGGUACUUGCCAGCAGGGAAUCCACUCUUGAUCAAUUCAAGGGUCUUGGUUCCACGAACCAAAUCAAAUCCAUAAGCGGUGACACCCUUCAAAGAAGUGAGGGUCUGGAAUGCCUCAGCUGGAACAUCAGCAAAGUAGGUCUCAACAAGAACAUUCAAGCCAGACAGAGUUGACUCUAGUUCCGCGUAAGCCUCACUGAAUGCUUGCAAUUUGUGUGAGUCAAGAUCCGUAACAAGCAAUGGCUCAUCAAACUGAAUCCA
rnacentral:lncRNA from 1 species